rnacentral:lncRNA from 1 species
AUUAUAGUGUGUUAUCUUACAUUCCGAUACUAUAUUUAGUAAAUUAGUUUGUUUCUCCUCUGCUUGUUGCCACUGUUUUUAAUUAUUUUGGGAUCCCCUGUUUCCCUUCCUGGAGGCGUGGAUUUUGCGAAAUCCCUCCGCUCCACUAGUCGCGGAACCGGGCCGGACCAGCCCUUAAACCGUUGACAGUCUGAUUGUGGUAGUACAAGAGGGAAUGGCUUUAAACUAAAAGGGGGAAUUCAGGUUAGCUGUCAGGAGGAAAUUCUCCACUCAGAGGGCUGUGAGGCACUGGCACAGCUGCCCAGAGAACCUGUGGUGCCCCAUCCCUGAAGGCGCUCAAGGCCAGGUUGGAUGGGGCCCUGGGCAGCUGAGCUGCUGGGGGGCAGCCCUGCCCCAUGGCUUGGAGUGGGACUGGGUGGGCUUUGAGAUUUCUUCCAACCCAAACCAUUCUAUGGUUCUUUGAUAUUGUAUGACUCCAUGACUCGCAAAUGCGUGGUGGUUUGGUGGCUCCUCUCUUUCAGCCACGUUGUGCUGGGAGGGGUGUCAGACAUCCCUCAUACUUUGCUGGAGCAUUUAAUUCCUACGCAAUGAAACUGGAGACUUAAACAAGAAAAUAGGAUUCUCAGUAGUCAGUACUGUUUGUCUGAGGUGGCCAAUACAAAAACACUAGCAGCUGGAAAGGAACAUUUUCUUUUCAUCUGACAAACGUGUAAUGCCAAUGCAGGAGUCCCGAUGAGAAGGAGCACACAGAGGGCAUCUUCAGCAGUGAGUGUCCUUGGUGGGCUGCCCUUGCUGUCCUCAGCUUGUGGCUUUUUUCCCCUAAGAUUGAGUGAUUUUGGCCAUUAGUGCAAACGUGAUGGGUUAAUAUUCUCUGAGGCUGAAAAUGGAUGGCCGUGGUGGGAGAGCAGUCAUCUCUCCCCUGUGUCACACUGCUGACAGGGCUAAUCCUUCUCUUGCCAGUCUCUGAUGUAACUUAAUUAAUUUUAGUGGAAUUACUCCUGAUGUAUAAUUAAGCGAGAAGGAAAUUGAACUGGACAAUGUGAGAAGCUUCCUGUGUUGUUGCUUAUCAUUACGAAGAGAAAUGGAGGACUCUGCGUUUCAUUAGUGCCAGGCUUUCACCUUGAACGUGAAAUCCCCCUAACGAAGCACUGCUUCAGAAAAAGGUGCCUGGGUCUGGUGUCUGAGCUCGAGUUUACCUUGUUCUUUAGCUAAUUACAUAAGAGUGGUUGUAAACUGGUGAGGAUGCCAAAACUGAGCUGCAAAUCGCAUCCUCCUCAUGAUUAUUUUUUUCUUUCUAAGAAGCACUACACUGAUAACCCCAGUACUGAAGUCCUCGCAUCUGCCUGCACUUCUCUGCCCACCGUCUUUUGGGUUUGUUUUAUCGUACCUUAAAUAUACAUACAGGGCAGCCCAUGUUUUACCUAGGAUUAAACAGCUGUUAGGGAUUGUCAGUAGAUCCUGUGCUCCCUAUUGCAACACAGAAGCUAGCAGUGUGAGAACUUCUGUACCAUUUCUGGUGCCCCCUAUUGGUACUCCUUAAAAAACCACUUAAUCUUCGUGGGAACAGUUCGACUCCAAGGCGAGAGUAUGAAGAGCAGCUCAGGUCACUCAGAGCAGAGGAGCUGAGGGGAGGACUGAUGGCGGCUGCAGCUCCUCACAGGGAGCGGAGGGGCAGCGCUGAGCUCUGCUCUGUGUGACAGCGACAGGGCCCGAGGGAACGGCAUGGAGCUGUG